rnacentral:rRNA from 1 species
UACAGAGGGGGCAAGCGUUGUCCGGAUUUACUGGGCGUAAAGCGUAUGUAGGCGGCGCGAGAGGUGGGGUGUGAAAUCGCUCGGCUUAACCGGGCGCGGCCAUCCCAAACCCUCGUGCUCGAGCUGUGCAGAGGUUGGUGGAAUUGCCGGUGUAGUGGUGAAAUGCGUAGAGAUCGGCAGGAACACCAAGGGAGAAAUCAACCAACUGGGCACAUGCUGACGCUGAGGUACGAGAGCGUGGGGAGCGAACCGG